rnacentral:rRNA from 1 species
UAUGUGAUCGUCUCUCGCAUAUCAAUAAGCGGAGGAAAAGAAACUAACAAGGAUUCCCCUAGUAACGGCGAGUGAAGCGGGAAGAGCUCAAAUUUGAAAUCUUAAAGGGUUUCCCUUUACGAAUUGUAGUUUAAAGAAGUGUUUUCUGUUGAGGUUUUGGUAAAAGUUCUUUGGAAUAGGACAUCAUAGAGGGUGAGAAUCCCGUAUUUGACCUUUACUUUCAACUUUGUGAUACACUUUCAAAGAGUCGGAUUGUUUGGGAAUGCAGUCCAAAAUGGGUGGUAAAUUUCAUCUAAAGCUAAAUAUUGGCGAGAGACCGAUAGCGAACAAGUACCGUGAGGGAAAGAUGAAGAGAACUUUGAAAAGAGAGUUAAACAGUACGUGAAAUUGUCAAAAGGGAAGCGUUUGACACCAGUGUUGUUUUUCUGAAAAUCAAUUAAAGAACUGUUUAUGCUAAGCUGUUUAGACUUUAUCAGCUAAUCUGUUUAGUUUUGAGCUUUUCUUUAAUGCACUUUUCAGUUAACAAGUCAACAUCAAUUUCUUUUGCUGUAAAAAAGCUUGAGGAAGGUGGCUUGAGAUUCGUCUUAAGUGUUUAUAGCCUCUUGCCUAUGCAGUCGGAGAGAUUGAGGUCUGCAGCGUAGAUCCUUCGGGGCUAAAUGCAUUUGUGCUAAGUUAUAGCAUUUUAUAGACAACUUGUUGACUAUGAUUUGUCUUGUAGCUUACUCGCUUAUGUUAUUUUACCUACGCUUAGGAUGUUGAUAUGCAUGACUGAUAU